GCUCUUGCCACAUUGUGCUACUGGCAGGGCCCAGCCCAAGCAGUGCCAUGUCGAAAGGGCAU
rnacentral:pre_miRNA from 1 species